rnacentral:rRNA from 1 species
CCUACGGGAGGCAGCAGUGGGGAAUCUUGCACAAUGGAGGAAACUCUGAUGCAGCGAUGCCGCGUGAGUGAAGAAGGCCCUAGGGUUGUAAAGCUCUUUCGUCGGGGAAGAAAAUGACUGUACCCGAAUAAGAAGGUCCGGCUAACUUCGUGCCAGCAGCCGCGGUAAU